UGUUACAAGAUAUGAUUUCCUAAACUUCUACACUUAAUCGUUUAACCGAUGGGCAAUCUAACCAAAAGCCUCCUCGAGAUAUCAGCCCUAUACCAAAACCCAAAAUUUUUAAGAGUAGCCUACUGAAACAAGAAGAGGAUUAAUAAACCCUCUCAUUCUCAAAAACAUUGCUUAACCAAUAGGGAUGACCAGUCGCUACAUAGGAUUGCAGGCGACAGUCUUCAGUUACACUUUUGGCAAUGAGAGUGGCUCCUCUAUUCGCCGAGGCAUCUUCAAUUACAAGUCUCCAAAAUAUAAUUCUUCCCAGAACUCUCCAUAUCUCCGAUGCUUGGUAGCGGAAAGAAGGUCAGGCAUUUGGUCGUAGAACAACACCAACAAGCUGCACAUCCUCUAAGGCAAAAAUUACAUGAUUCAUUUUAUGGUUGUGCAUACAUUCUAUUGCCCAAACAGAAACACAUAAACUUGCCUCAUCUCUAGAGUUAACCUUGUUAAAAGCUCUCCUGCUAUUAAGUAACACAUUCCCUGUGUUAUCUCUUAAAACCCAAGAACCACCAACCAAUCUAUUUCUCUUUGACCAAGAAACACCAAUGUUGCAUUUUAACCAGCCUCUGACCGGAGGAUUCCAAGGAAACGAAGAAACCGACCUUAUAGAGAGAUCUGUCUGACAAGAGGAGAGAAGCUUUUACCUUCAAAAAACAAAAGGUUCUGGUUUUUCCAUAUUCUCCACAUGAUCCAUGGGAAGAUUCUUCUUAAUGUGAGAGGCCAUUUUAAAUUAUCCUUGUUGACAAGGAAGUGUUGAAUGAUUGAGAACACUGAGGCUACCGGCAUCGCUCCACUAAGCAUCUUCCAUAAGAAGAUCUUAAUUUUUGGUUCAGUAUGUAGUUUCCACAUCUGUUCUUUAAGGGGAUUAACAGAGGAUUGAAUAGAAGCUUCCAACAAUAGAGGAUUGUCUUUUGUGUUUACUGCUAGCCAAUAAGCUGAUUUCACUGAGAAAACCCCACUUUUGUUA